rnacentral:lncRNA from 1 species
AAGACAAGAGAAUAAGGUCAAACAUAAAGGUUAGAUUUUUAAGCAAGACGAGAGAAGCGGGUUAGGGCCCAUGCCUGGUGACAAGACCACCCUUGAAGCAGAGCCAAGGUGAUGGUCUGAGGCCAGGAGACCACCGAGGAGCUGAGCUGAGCAUGCGGAGGUGCAUUUCAGAUGGUUCCCUGAUUGGUUCACUCAGCAAACUUGCAUUGAGCAGCGCUCACUAAGCACCGGAUGCCUUAAUAACUGCAAAGGGAAAACUGUGCUACAAUGACAGGACCUGGAAUUCACUGCCUUAGCCAAAUGGCCAAAUUCAGCAUCGUGAAAAGUGGGGACGACCUGACACAAUGUCCCUCCCAAUGCGAUGCAGUAAGGAGCACACAACAUCCCCUGUGGGGUGUUGUUCUCAAAAAUGUGUGACCUGAAUCCAAUCAUGAGGAAACAAUCAGACAAAUCCAGAAUGUGAAACAUCCUGCAAAAUGACAGUCCUGGACUCUUCCAAAAGGUCAAUGUCGUGAAAACCAAAACAAAACAAAGUUAGUUUAAAAGAGAUGAAAGAAGCAUAAAAAUGAAAUGCAACAGUGAAUCUUGAUUAGUCCUGGAUUAAAACGAUAACAGCAACAACAACAACAAGGGUGUGAAAAGUUUAUUACAGGGAAACUGAUAUCCAGAGACUGUCAAGAAACUGAAGCUUCCCAGACCUCAACUCCUUGGCUUCCUGGCACCAGAAUCCACCAUCCAUCAAUGGAGACAGACAACCAAGGAUAUCCACAUCCAGAUUCCCUUUUCUCGCCAUCCCCUUUUCUGCAAGCAGCCACACAAAGCCAAACACAGGCUGGUGGGAAGGUGCCAACCAGCAAGGCCACAUACUCCCCCUCCCCCACCUAAAACCUCAAAUAAAAACCCCUACCUUUUUUACUUCAAGGAAGUGGAUUUGAGUUUUAGGUCCAAUCUCCGAAUCUGGCCGCCUUUCGAUAAAACCCAUUCCUUGCUAUGAGCCUGGGGUGCCAGUUUUUACUUCGGCCCAUCUUGGUGGGUGGGUAAAGAACCAGUGUAUUUAGCAGACAACACUUUGGGGAGCCAGCCAGGAGGCUCUUUGCCUGUGGAUCCAUGGCCCCAGGCCAGCUGGGAUUUCCUGGGAAGCAGUCUAGCAGCUGCCUAGGUGAUUUGCCUUAGGCACUGUCCCCACUACUUUCCAUGUGACCUGGCACCACUAGCCUAGACACAUUUUCUUGUCACAAGGAAACAGGCUCUAGAUUUCUUUGUUUGUUUAUUUGUUUUUGCUUCUGGUGAGUCAACCAGUUCAGUCUGGAAUAAGGAUAUCCAUUAACACUUCAAAAGGAGCUGUCAGUUUAAAGAAGUACCUGGUCAUCAUGAG